rnacentral:misc_RNA from 1 species
UAACCACUCAAGCCUUCGCUUGGUCUUGGGGUACGCGGUCCCGCGGCUCCUAAAAUCAGUGGCGGUGCCUGUCGGCUCUACGCGUAGUAAUACUCCUCGCGAUUGAGUCCGGUGGGCCACCUGCCAGCAACCCCCAAAUUUUUACA